rnacentral:rRNA from 1 species
CGGGAAGAGCUCAAAUUUGUAAUCUGGCACCUUCGGUGUCCGAGUUGUAAUCUCUAGAAGUGUUUUCCGCGUUGGACCGCACACAAGUCUGUUGGAAUACAGCGGCAUAGUGGUGAUACCCCAUUACACGGUGCGGACGCCCAGCGCUUUGUGAUACACUUUCGACGAGUCGAGUUGUUUGGGAAUGCAGCUCAAAUUGGGUGGUAAAUUCCAUCUAAAGCUAAAUAUUGGCGAGAGACCGAUAGCGAACAAGUACCGUGAGGGAAAGAUGAAAAGCACUUUGGAAAGAGAGUUAAAAGUACGUGAAAUUGUUGGAAGGGAAACGCUUGAAGUCAGACUUGCUUGCCGGGCUUGCUCGGUUUGCAGGCCAGCAUCAGUUUUCCGGGGCGGAUAAUGGCAGUUAGAAUGUAGCAGUCUCGGCUGUGUUAUAGCUUUCUGCUGGAUACGUCCUGGGGGACUGAGGAACGCAGCGUGCCGUAUGGCGAGGGCUUCGGUCCUUUCACGCUUAGGAUGCUGGUGGAAUGGCUUUAAACGAC